AUAUUUAUUAAAGUGUAUAUAGUGAUUUAGUUAGACUGUGAGAUAGUAUUAAU
rnacentral:guide_RNA from 1 species